UACGAAGUGUGCUAGCGUUGUUCGGAAUCACUGGGCGUAAAGGGCGCGUAGGCGGCUUUUCAAGUCGGGGGUGAAAGCCUGUGGCUCAACCACAGAAUUGCCUUCGAUACUGUUAGGCUUGAGACCGGAAGAGGUGAGUGGAACUGCGAGUGUAGAGGUGAAAUUCGUAGAUAUUCGCAAGAACACCAGUGGCGAAGGCGGCUCACUGGUCCGGUUCUGACGCUGAGGCGCGAAAGCGUGGGGAGCAAACAGG
rnacentral:rRNA from 1 species